CUUGUAGGGAUCUAUAUCACAGAAAUAUAAAAUAUAUAAAAUUAUUUGUAAUUUCAAUAAAAUCAUGGGGCCCAAGUUGUUACCCCACAUUAAAGGUGGCCAAUGGGCCAGACGGCACGAGGCACAGCACGGGCACCGCACGUGUCCGUACAGCACGGCACGGCACAAGCACAUUUCGGUAUAGCACGCGGCACGACAUGUCACGCACGUGGACUGGGUCAGGCUUAGAUUUUAGGCACGUGGGCCUUAAAAGCACAACACGAUUAGAAAUAGGCUAAAGUACGGCAUGUAAAAAAGCACACAAUAAGCACAUUUCAUUUUUUAAUGAAAGUAAACUUAAAAUUUUAUGAUUUUAUAAAUAACUUAC
rnacentral:lncRNA from 1 species